rnacentral:rRNA from 1 species
AGUCCACAUCGACGGGGAGGUUUGGCACCUCGAUGUCGGCUCAUCACAUCCUGGGGCUGUAGUAGGUCCCAAGGGUUGGGCUGUUCGCCCAUUAAAGUGGUACGCGAGCUGGGUUCAGAACGUCGUGAGACAGUUCGGUCCCUAUCCGUCGCAGGCGUAGGAAAUUUGAGAAGACCUGUCCUUAGUACGAGCGGACCGGGAUGGACGUACCUCUGGUGUACCAGUUGUCCUGCCAAGGGCAUGGCUGGGUAGCUAUGUACGGAAUGGAUAAGCGCUGAAAGCAUCUAAGCGCGAAGCCAACUUCAAGAUAAGAUUUCCCACCGCAAGGGUAAGACCCCAGAAAGACUAUCUGGUUG